rnacentral:rRNA from 1 species
GACGAACGCUGGCGGCGUGGAUUAGGCAUGCAAGUCGAACGGUAGUAUCCUUUCGGGGAUAUGAGAGUGGCGAACGGGUGAGUAACACGUAGGUAAUCUACCCUCAAAUCGGGGACAACCCAGGGAAACUUGGGCUAAUACCGGAUGAGUGCAGCACCUUGAUUUUCCGGUGGGCGGUGAAUGGUUAAAUCUAUUUACCGGACAUUGGGAAAUGAAGGUGCUGUAUAAAAGAUGGCGUAAGCUGUCGUUUGAGGAUGAGCCUGCGCUCUAUUAGUUAGUUGGUGGGGUAAUGGCCUACCAAGGCGAUGAUAGAUAGGCGGCCUUAACGGGUGGCCGCCCACACUGGGAUUGAGAUACGGCCCAGACUCCUACGGGAGGCAGCAGUCGAGAAUAGUCUACAAUGGACGAAAGUCUGAUAGUGCGACGCCGCGUGAACGAAGAAUCCUUCGGGUGUAAAGUUCUUUUAUAUGUGAGCAAUGCUUUUUAUGUGAAUAGCAUGAGAG